CCUACGGGAGGCAGCAGUGGGGAAUAUUGCACAAUGGGGGAAACCCUGAUGCAGCGACGCCGCGUGAGUGAAGAAGUAAUUCGUUAUGUAAAGCUCUAUCAGCAGGGAAGAAAAUGACGGUACCUGAGUAAGAAGCCACGGCUAACUACGUGCCAGCAGCCGCGGUAAUACGUAGGGGGCAAGCGUUAUCCGGAUUUACUGGGUGUAAAGGGAGCGUAGACGGCAGUGCAAGUCUGGAGUGAAAGGCGGGGGCUCAACCCCCGGACUGCUCUGGAAACUGUACGGCUGGAGUGCAGGUGAGGUAAGUGGAAUUCCUGGUGUAGCGGUGAAAUGCGUAGAUAUUAGGAGGAACACCAGUGGCGAAGGCGGCUUACUGGACUGUAACUGACGUUGAGGCUCGAAAGCGUGGGUAGCAAACAGGAUUAGAUACCCCUGUAGUC
rnacentral:rRNA from 1 species